rnacentral:rRNA from 1 species
UACGGGGGGGGCUAGCGUUGUUCGGAAUUACUGGGCGUAAAGGGCGCGUAGGCGGCCUACUAAGUCGGACGUGAAAUCCCUUGGCUUAACUGAGGAAGUGCCUCGGAAACGGCAAGACUUGAGUUCUGGAGAGGAUCGUGGAAUUCCCGGUGUAGCGGUGAAAUGCGUAGAUAUUGGGAGGAACACCGGUGGCGAAGGCGGCCCCCUGGACCGGUACUGACGCUGAGGCGCGAAAGCGUGGGUAGCAAACGGG